CCUCGGGUGGCUGCAGUGGGGAAUAUUGGACAAUGGGCGAAAGCCUGAUCCAGCCAUGCCGCGUGUGUGAAGAAGGCCUUCGGGUUGUAAAGCACUUUCAGUGGGGAAGAAAGCCUUGGGGCUAAUACCCUCGAGGAAGGACAUCACCCACAGAAGAAGCACCGGCUAACUCCGUGCCAGCAGCCGCGGUAAUACGGAGGGUGCGAGCGUUAAUCGGAAUUACUGGGCGUAAAGCGCGCGUAGGCGGUCUGAUAAGCCGGUUGUGAAAGCCCCGGGCUCAACCUGGGAACGGCAUCCGGAACUGUCAGGCUAGAGUGCAGGAGAGGAAGGUAGAAUUCCCGGUGUAGCGGUGAAAUGCGUAGAGAUCGGGAGGAAUACCAGUGGCGAAGGCGGCCUUCUGGACUGACACUGACGCUGAGGUGCGAAAGCGUGGGUAGCAAACAGGAUUAGAUACCCGGGUAGUC
rnacentral:rRNA from 1 species